rnacentral:rRNA from 1 species
CCUACGGGAGGCAGCAGUGGGGAAUAUUGGACAAUGGGGGCAACCCUGAUCCAGCCAUGCCGCGUGUGUGAAGAAGGCCCUCGGGUUGUAAAGCACUUUCAGUGAGGAAGAACGCCUGGUGGUUAAUACCCAUCAGGAAAGACAUCACUCACAGAAGAAGCACCGGCUAACUCCGUGCCAGCAGCCGCGGUAAUACGGAGGGUGCGAGCGUUCAUCGGAAUUACUGGGCGUAAAGCGCGCGUAGGUGGCUUGAUAAGCCGGUUGUGAAAGCCCCGGGCUCAACCUGGGAACGGCAUCCGGAACUGUCAAGCUAGAGUGCAGGAGAGGAAGGUAGAGUUCCCGGUGUAGCGGUGAAAUGCGUAGAGAUCGGGAGGAAUAUCAGUGGCGAAGGAGUCCUUCUGGACUGACACUGACACUGAGGUGCGAAAGCGUGGGUAGCAAACCGGAUUAGAUACCCCAGUAGUC